GACGAACCGUGCGAACGUUGUUCGGAAUCACUGGGCUUAAAGAGCUCGUAGGCGGUUCACUAAGUCGGGUGUGAAACCUCCAGGCUCAACCUGGAGACGCCACCUGAUACUGGUGUGACUAGAGUCCGGUAGGGGAGUGUGGAACUCCUGGUGUAGCGGUGAAAUGCGCAGAUAUCAGGAAGAACACCAGCGGCGAAGGCGGCACUCUGGGCCGGUACUGACGCUGAGGAGCGAAAGCGUGGGUAGCAAACAGG
rnacentral:rRNA from 1 species